rnacentral:rRNA from 1 species
AUGUUCCUUAAUUUGAUCUCACCUUCCCUGCUUAAACAUAUGUCAUUGCUCGAUUUGAUUAUUGUAUUAGUGUCUCUUAAGUUUGCUGGAACGCUUGAUGUUUCCUUUGAAUUUAGAAGAAGAGGUUCCAGCCAUAAGAUUCUUAAGUUCGCUGGCUCUGCGGCCGCAUCAUGGCAAGACGGCCACAAGGCAGUUGUUGCUUCCAGGCGCACAAAGGCCACUGAUCGGAUCAGCGUGAAGAAACACGUUCAGAUCGCCGCUGCAAGCCUCGCCUCAUCAACAGAUCAACCUCUGCACCUACAUCCACUUCGACAGGCCGUCAGUCAAAGCAGAAAAUGCAUGAUGUUAUCUGCAUCAAUGAUGAUAGCGGAUCUUCUGAAUCACUUCCUCAGCUUAACAACUUAA